rnacentral:rRNA from 1 species
GAGUGGCGAAAGGGCGAGUAAUGCAUAGGUAACGUACCCCAAGCCCAGGGAUAGCCGCGGGAAACUAGCGGAUAAUACCUGACGAGACCACAGCUCCACCAGGAGCAGGGGUCAAAGGUGGGGACCUUCGGGCCUAUACGGCCUAGGGAGCGGCCCAUAUACCUAUACAGCUUGUUGGUGAGGUAACGGCUACACCAAGGCGACGACGGGUAGCGGGACUAGAGAGGUAGGCCCGCCGCACUGGGACUGAGACACUGCCCAGACUCCUACGGGAGGCUGCAGUAACGAAUACUAGUCCAAUGGGCGCAAGCCUAGAGACAGCAAUAGCCGCGUAGCGGGACGAAGUCCUUCGGGAUAGUAAAACCGCUAGUCAGGGGUUAGGAAGCAAUGAGGGCCAAUACCCCUUAAACGUAGACCAGCCCCAGAGGAAGCCACGGCUAACUAUCGUGCCAGCAGCCGCGGUAAUAACGAAGGUGGCGAGCGUAAUAUCGGAAUCACUGGGCUUAAAGAGCACGUAGGCGGACAGUCAAGCGUCUUGUGAAAUCCCUCGGCUUAACCGAGGAACUGCUUGGCGAAACUGGCUGUCUUGAGGCAAGUAAGGGCGCGUGGAACUCUUGGUGGACCGGUGGAAUGCGUAGAUAUCAAGAGGAACGCCGGAGGUGAAGACGGCGCGCUGGGCUUGUCCUGACGCUGAGGUGCGAAAGCCAGGGGAGCGAACGGGAUUAGAUACCCCGGUAGUCCUGGCCCUAAACGAUGUCCACUAGGUCGAUGGUUCUCUGACGGAUUGUCGGCCGAAACCAAAGCGUUAAGUGGACCGCCUGGGGAGUACGGUCGCAAGGCUAAAACUCAAAGGAAUUGACGGGGACUCACACAAGCGGUGGAGCAUGUUGCUUAAUUCGAUGCAACGCGAAGAACCUUAUCCUGGGCUUGACAUGUAUGGAUGCCUACCUGGAAACAGGAUCGGUUGCCCUUCGGGGUGAAACUUACACAGGUGCUGCAUGGCUGUCGUCAGCUCGUGUCGUGAGAUGUUGGGUUAAGUCCCGUAACGAGCGAAACCCUUGUCGCUAGUUGCCAGCGGGUAAUGCCGGGGACUCUAGCGAGACUGCCGGUGUCAAACCGGAGGAAGGUGGGGAUGACGUCAAGUCCUCAUGGCCUUUAUGCCCAGGGCUGCAAACGUGCUACAAUGGCCGAGACAAAACGACGCAAGACCGCGAGGUGGAGCUAAUCGGAAAAAAUCGGCCUCAGUUCGGAUUGGAGUCUGCAACUCGACUCCAUGAAGUUGGAAUCGCUAGUAAUCGCGUAUCAGCCACGACGCGGUGAAUGUGUUCCUGAGUCUUGUACACACCGCCCGUCAAGUCAUGGAAGCCGGGAGCGCCCGAAGU